AGCGAACGCUGGCGGCAGGCUUAACACAUGCAAGUCGAGCGGGCGUAGCAAUACGUCAGCGGCAGACGGGUGAGUAACGCGUGGGAACAUACCUUUUGGUUCGGAACAACACAGGGAAACUUGUGCUAAUACCGGAUAAGCCCUUACGGGGAAAGAUUUAUCGCCGAAAGAUUGGCCCGCGUCUGAUUAGCUAGUUGGUGAGGUAACGGCUCACCAAGGCGACGAUCAGUAGCUGGUCUGAGAGGAUGAUCAGCCACAUUGGGACUGAGACACGGCCCAAACUCCUACGGGAGGCAGCAGUGGGGAAUAUUGGACAAUGGGCGCAAGCCUGAUCCAGCCAUGCCGCGUGAGUGAUGAAGGCCCUAGGGUUGUAAAGCUCUUUUGUGCGGGAAGAUAAUGACGGUACCGCAAGAAUAAGCCCCGGCUAACUUCGUGCCAGCAGCCGCGGUAAUACGAAGGGGGCUAGCGUUGCUCGAAAUCACUGGGCGUAAAGGGUGCGUAGGCGGGUCUUUAAGUCAGGGGUGAAAUCCUGGAGCUCAACUCCAGAACUGCCUUUGAUACUGAGG
rnacentral:rRNA from 1 species